AUGCGGCGCCUCCACAGGUCCCUCCUCGCCGCCGCCCUCACCAAGCCCCUCUGCCGCCACCGACCCCCUCCCCCGCUGCUCCACCGCUCUCCUCUCCGCCCGCACCAAUCGCUCCCCUUCUCCACCCGAGCCCUAACCACGCCGCUACCUUCUUCCGCCGCGGCGCCGACCGCCCUAACCACGCCGCCACCUACUCCCAACGCGGCGCCGACCUCCCAACCCACCGCCCUCGCCUCCCUCGAGGCCGCCGAGCGCAAGGAGGCCGCGGGCGACCACCAGGAGGCCCUCGACCUCGCGCUCAAGGCGCUCGCCCCCCUGCAGGAGACCCACGGCGGCUGGUCGCUCCCCGUCGCGCGCGCCCUCCGCCUCGCUGGCGCCGCGGCCUUCCGCCUCAACCUCCUCAACGACAGCCUCGACUCCCUCGAGGCCGCCGCCGAGAUCGUCGACUCCCUGCUGGGCGCGGGCGCCGAGGCGGCCACCGUCGGCGCGGCCGUGCUCGACCAGCUCGCGCGCACCAAGACGGCCAUGGGGCGCCGCUGGGACGCGGUGGCCGACCUCCGCCGCGCCCUGGAGCUCAAAGGCCGCGUCCUGGACGGAGGGUGCGCGGACGCCUGCAGGGACGUCGCCGAGGCGUACGUGGGGGUGCUGUGCUUCGACAAGGCGCUGCCCCUCUGCCUUUCAGCGCUGGAGAUCACCGUGAAGCGGUUCGGAGACGGCUCCGCCGAGGUGGCUAAGGUCCGGCAGAUCCUCAUGGUUGCUUACACCGGGCUGGGCCGCAACGAGGAGGCGUUGGAGCAGAACAAGCUUCUUAGGAUGGUGUACGAGGGGCUGGGUAUGGAUGUGGAGCUUUCUCUGGCUGAAAUCGAUGGCGCCGGCUUGAGUAUCCUGCUGGGUAGAACGGAGGACGCGAUGAAUGACCUGAAGAAGGUGAUGAAUCGGGCCAGCAAGGACAGCGAGGAGCGUGCGCUGGCAUUUGUCACCAUGGCCAAGAUCCUCUGCUCCCAGGAGAGGCUCAGCGACUCCAGACGGUGCCUGGAGAUUGCUCGUGAGACUCUCGACUCCAAACGUUCUGCCAACCCUGAGCGGACCGCUGGCGCAUAUACGGAGAUAUCGAUGCUGUACGAGUCAAUGACUGAAUUCGAGAUGUCGCUGUGUUUGAUGAGGAAAACGCUUGCGUUUCUUGAGCGUGUCUCAGGGAUGCAGCACAUCCAAGGGAGUAUCUCGGCAAGGCUGGGUUGGCUCCUCCUGCUGACGAAACGAGUUGAUGAGGCUGUUCCUUUACUGGAGAAAGCAGUGGAGAAGCUCAAGAACUGUUUUGGACCGCUGCACUUUGGGUUAGGAUUUGCUUAUAAGCAUCUGGGGGAGGCUAACCUUGAACUGAACCAACUGGACGCAGCUGUGAAGUUCUUUGUUCUUGCGAGUGAUAUCAUUACUGCUGCAUUUGGGCCGAAACAUGAGGAUUCCAUUGAGAUACUUCAGUUGAUUGCAAAUGCAUAUGGACUGAUGGGGAGUUACAAGCAUGCAGAGGAUUAUCAACUACGAGUUAUAGCUGCUUAUGAAAGUUGUGGCCCUGAUAUGUCAUAUGAACAAAGAGAAGCUCGUAGGCUUCUGGAGCAGCUAAGGAAGAAGGCUGAAGGGUCACCUCAUGCAGUAUUUCCUGCCAAUUCAUUGCCUGUGCUUCCGCAAGACCGAGAAUAAUGCUUCUCCUAGCAUCUUAUAGAGGAAGAUGACUCAAUGACUUAUUUCUGGUUGGAAUUGAUUGACGACAUUGAGCUACAAGCAUGCCUUGGAUUUUCAACGAGUUAUUGAUGCUUAUGAAAGCUGUGGCCCUGGAUCCGCCUGUGUGGAAGAGGAACUCUAGAGCAGCUGAGGAAGGCAGAAGGGGCACCUUUUAUCCAGUAUUUGCUGCAAAUUCAUUACCCUUGCUUACCCAAAAUCGAGAGUAGUUCUUGUCGGCAUCUGUUAGAUGAGUACGGAGUAUGACCCAAUGGUAAAUUAAGAUUUUAGCAGUGACUCUGAGGUCGUUUUACUACUCCCUCCGUCCCAAAAAGGAUGUCGCAAAUUUGUCUAAAUUUGGAUGUAACUAUACACUAAAUUGCGUCGCGUCAAAAUAGAUCAAAAUUUAGACAAAUCUGUGACAUCCUUUUUGGGACAGAGGGAGUAUUAUUUUGGUGCCCAAUGUCACUACACAGUUUAUUUACGUAUCAGUGGAACUAGAUGUGAUCAUGUCAACAUAUUCUAUUUGGGAAGACCGUUGAAUAUGCUCCAUGAAUAAAACAUGAGCUUGCUGACUUCAGGCUAUAGGUAGCAUUUAUACUGUAUCUUUCACAUCUGCCAUGUGAAUUUUCUUUGCCUUUAGUAGAAAACCU